rnacentral:miRNA from 1 species
ACAAGGUGUGCAUGCCUGACC